rnacentral:rRNA from 1 species
UACGUAGGGGGCUAGCGUUGUCCGGAUUUAUUGGGCGUAAAGAGCGUGUAGGCGGCCAGGUAGGUCUGCUGUGAAAACUCGAGGCUCAACCUCGAGACGUCGGCGGAAACCAUCUGGCUAGAGUCCGGAAGAGGAGAGUGGAAUUCCUGGUGUAGCGGUGGAAUGCGCAGAUAUCGAGGAGGAACACCAAUAGCGAAGGCAGCUCGCUGGGACGGUAUUGACGCUAAGGCGCGAAAGCGUGGGGAGCAACAAGG